CAAGUCGAACGAUGGCUUCGGCCAUAGUGGCGCACGGGUGAGUAACACGUACGAACCUGCCUUUCGGUUCGGAAUAACGUCUGGAAACGGACGCUAACACCGGAUAUGCCCUUCGGGGGAAAGUUUACGCCGAGAGAGGGGCCCGCGUCGGAUUAGGUAGUUGGUGAGGUAAUGGCUCACCAGGCCUGCGAUCCGUAUCUGGUCUGAGAGGAUGAUCAGCCACACUGGGACUGAGACACGGCCCAGACUCCUACGGGAGGCAGCAGUGGGGAAUAUUGGACAAUGGGCGCAAGCCUGAUCCAGCAAUGCCGCGUGAGUGAUGAAGGCCUUAGGGUUGUAAAGCUCUUUCGCACGCGACGAUGAUGACGGUAGCGUGAGAAGAAGCCCCGGCUAACUUCGUGCCAGCAGCCGCGGUAAUACGAAGGGGGCUAGCGUUGUUCGGAAUUACUGGGCGUAAAGGGCGCGUAGGCGGCCCGAUCAGUCAGAAGUGAAAGCCCCGGGCUCAACCUGGGAACCGCUUUUGAUACUGUCGGGCUUGAGUUCCGGAGAGGAUGGUGGAAUUCCCAGUGUACAGGUGAAAUUCGUANAU
rnacentral:rRNA from 1 species